ensembl:lncRNA
CUGAUCAAUAACUGUUACCCACACAAUACUUUUAAUGGUAUUUCUGCUAAUUUAAUCUAAAAUUGCUAAGAUUGUUUUACUCUUUCUCCCUUUAAUAGACAUUUUUCAGUGUGCAGAUUAGAAAAGUACAUCCACAGAAUUCCAUUCCAAGAUCCAGCGUCUGCGCCUCGAUGGAGGAGUGCUGCUAGAAACCCAGAACGGGUGGAGAGGCUCCCGGGAGGAAUGGGGUAGAGUUCUCGAUGAGGGUCCCGGCAGCAAACAGCUCCGUUAGAGCAGAAUCAGGCGAGAUGCCUGAGAACGGACGCUCCAGGAGGAAACGGGUGCCGAAGACAUGCGACUGCUGCGGGCCCCACGGCAAGUCCCUCGCCCCGGGACACCAGCAGGUGUCCAAGAAACGCGGCCGCAGGAAGAAAGAGAUGCUGAGCCAAGAAGAAGAAGUGGCGGCGGAGGAGGAGGUGGUGAGCUCGGCGGCGGUGGACUCGGUGGUGACUUUGGAAGCGGACGCCGCUUCUGAGAUGGAUGAGGCUCCGUCUCCUAAAGAGAAGCCAGAGCUUUCUCAGACUGAGAGAGGGAGUGAAAGCACCGUCCUGGUGAACGGCUUGGAGAACAGCGUUCCCAGCGACACCAGAGAGCUGAGCAGCUCUGCCACACACAAUGACUUGAUGAAAAAACCCCGCACAGAGCCGGAUGCAAUGGAAACCGCGAUGCCCGGUCUGAGCGCUUCCUGGGACCAUCACUACUGCAGACCCCUCGCUGAGGAUCACAGGAGCGACUCCACGGAGGAGACGGGACAGCCGCCUGCACUGCCUCCGGUUGAGUUCACCACUGAGGGCAUCAUCGAGUGCAUUCAUGAAUUCCUCGAGCAGUUCUACGGGAAAUACGGAAGCUUCACUCCGUUGAGUGAGACCGACGUCCUCGAUCACCUAAAUAAGAUGUUCCAGUCUGAUCUAAAUGACAGGCAAGUUUAAUCAUGCUUUUCUACAAGUAUGGCACAAAAGCAAGUUUUCCAUCAGUGAAAGGAGGAACAUAACCUUCAGAAAGACCUCUGGAGGUCAGACUAAAUGUCACAUUUGAUGUGUUUUGACUAGUGCUGUCAAACGAUUAAUCACAUUCAAAAUAAAUGUGUGUAAUGUGUGUGUAUUCUUAUAUUC